rnacentral:rRNA from 1 species
GAUGAACGCUGGCGGCGUGCCUAAUGCACGCAAGUCGAGCGACCACAUGAGGCGCUUGCUCCUCUGCCGUUAUCGGCCGACGGGUGAGUAACACGUCGAUAACCUACCUAUCAGACUGUGAUAACUUCGGGAAACCGGAGCUAAUACCGGAUAAUAUAUUUAACCGCAUGGUUCCAUAGUGCAAGACGUCUUUGCUGUCACUUAUAGCUGGCUCCGCGCCGCAUUAGCUAGUUGGUAAGGUAACGGCUUACCAAGGCAACGAUGCGUAGCCGGCCGGAGAGAGUGAUCGUCAAGACGGGAUCUGAGACACGGACCAGACUCCCAGGGGAGGCACCAGUCGCGAAUGUUGCGCGAGUGGCGAAAGCCUGACGGAGUAAAGCCGCGUGAGUGAUGGCGGUGCUAGGGUCGUGAAGCGCUGGCAGAAGGGGAGGAGAAGCGUGUGAGAGACUGUGCCCGUCGUGACGGUACCGAAGCAAAAUACCUCGGAGAAAGCCGUG